rnacentral:lncRNA from 1 species
AUUUUCAAGGUAGAGACAGGUCAACUUGGUUUCUAGAGAUAUGGUGCUAUUCAGUAUUCCAUCCCCCACUUCAUCCUCCGAUUUCAAGAGGAGAAAGAAACUCCUCAAAUAUUUUUUAUAUUGACUUUUGUUCCUUUUGCUUAUCUGCUGCUUACUUUUAGUUUGAGAAAUAAAUAUAAUAAUAUUGCUUAUAUGGAACUUUUUUCACAUAUUUACAGAAAUGAAAAUUUAAGUUUCCAGUUACUGCUCUCUUGAACGGAGGAACUGCCACCUUUUAUAGCCGUAGAAAACAAGAACCUGUGAGACUAAAUGUUCCUGGAUAAGGAUAUAGGAGGGAAGACUAAGUCAUAAGUAUUCAGCUUUAGACAAGUUUGGCAGAUCCAGAAUCAUGAGGUGGGUGGCUAAUGUAUGGAAGUAUGCUGUUAUAUUGCCAGAACUCACAAUCAGCAGGCAUUUCUUUAGUGUCAUUCAGAAACUGUGCUUUAACAAGGUCAUGGAAGAUUUUUACUGUAUUGCUGAUUUACCACUUACCAUUGAAUACUACGACCUUGACCACAUUACCUGCAGCUAUGUUUAGUAAAGUAGAUUAUAGAAUUAUGUAAAAUUCUGAUUUGGAAGACAUCCACAAGGAUCAUCAAGUCCAACUCCUGGCUCCACACAGUACUACCUACCUGAGUAUACUCUAAGAUGAAAGAUGGUCUAUGGUUUUGCAUGGACUGUAGAGAACACAGAAGGGCUUGGUAUGAUACUGAGGCAGCUUUGGAGACACUGAGGUUUGACUGAAUCAGCCACAUAGUCCCUGCUUGUUUUGGGAUAGUUAAAAGAUUUGAUGAGCACUGGGUAUAUACUACUGCUCACAAUUUUCCCUGAUGCUAACAUCAUGCCUUACCUGAAAAUCCCUAUUAAACAUCAUGGCCAUUCAUAUUUGUCUUAUUAUUAUGCAGAAAGUGACAGUGCAUUGUUGUAGGCUGUUAAAAAAACAUAACUUUUCCAACUGGCAUAAGCAUACAUGGUCCUUCAGAUAGAAAGGAUAUUCCUAUUUCUCCUGAAACCACCACAAUGUUUAGGUACUAUGGAUUGUUAUCAGACGGACUUGUAGGUUGAGUCAGAUGGUCAGCUCCACCAUAGUCACGUGGCAGUUCUAAAAAUUCAUAAAAAUAUCUGUUUUCCAGAUGAUUAUUACCAUCCUUUUCACAGAGAAGAUAACAAAAUUUUUUUGAAGUCCCUG